AGCAAAUGAUGAGUAUAACUUCUGGUCCGUGUUACUGAACCUCUGUGAUAACAUUAGAAGUUCUGAGCU
rfam:Nematostella vectensis strain CH2 x CH6 NEMVEscaffold_103_Cont12720, whole genome shotgun sequence.